rnacentral:rRNA from 1 species
AGAGUUUGAUCCUGGCUCAGAUUGAACGCUGGCGGAAUGCUUUACACAUGCAAGUCGAACGGCAGCAUAGGUGCUUGCACCUGAUGGCGAGUGGCGAACGGGUGAGUAAUACAUCGGAACGUGCCCAGUCGUGGGGGAUAACGUAGCGAAAGUUACGCUAAUACCGCAUACGAUCUACGGAUGAAAGCGGGGGACCGUAAGGCCUCGCGCGAUUGGAGCGGCCGAUGUUAGAUUAGGUAGUUGGUGGGGUAAAGGCUCACCAAGCCGACGAUCUAUAGCUGGUCUGAGAGGAUGAUCAGCCACACUGGGACUGAGACACGGCCCAGACUCCUACGGGAGGCAGCAGUGGGGAAUUUUGGACAAUGGGCGCAAGCCUGAUCCAGCCAUUCCGCGUGCAGGACGAAGGCCUUCGGGUUGUAAACUGCUUUUGUACAGAACGAAAAGCUCUGGGUUAAUACCCUGGGGUCAUGACGGUACUGUAAGAAUAAGCACCGGCUAACUACGUACCAGCAGCCGCGGUAAU